rnacentral:rRNA from 1 species
UACGUAGGGUGCAAGCGUUAAUCGGAAUUACUGGGCGUAAAGCGCGCGCAGGCGGUUGUGCAAGACAGAUGUGAAAUCCCCGGGCUUAACCUGGGAACUGCAUUUGUGACUGCACGGCUAGAGUGUGUCAGAGGGGGGUAGAAUUCCACGUGUAGCAGUGAAAUGCGUAGAGAUGUGGAGGAAUACCGAUGGCGAAGGCAGCCCCCUGGGAUAACACUGACGCUCAUGCACGAAAGCGUGGGGAGCAAACAGG